rnacentral:lncRNA from 1 species
GGGAGCAAGGAGGAGCUGCAGGCUGUGUUCCGGGUCUUUGACCAGAAUGGUGAUGGGUACAUCACGAUGGACGAACUCAAGCAAGGCUUGUCCCAGAUGGGUGAGACGCUGUCCGAGGAGGAGCUGAAUGACAUGAUCCGUGUGGCUGAUGCAGACCAAGAUGGGAAGGUGAACUAUGAGGAGUUUCUGAGAGUCUUCCUCGAGAAGUGAGAAGUGAGACUGCUGGAUGCAAGCCCCGCCUCCUCAGCUGCCUGACUCUGACAGGCACUCGUGCCUUCUAGCGGGGCUCUGCUUUUGUGGUGGGGUUAAAAAAGAAGUCUGUGUUGGUGUGUGGGAAACUACCUCAUGGAUGAGGAUGACGUUAUUAGAUCUGGAUGCUGGGACAUCCGGAGCUGCUCACUAAGUCUCCUCUCUGCCUGCUGAGACGCUGGUCAAAGGACGGUUUCUUUGGGUUGGUCUUUCCUCUCCCUCUUGCUGUGGAAUGGGUGCUUCCUACCUCCCAGGGCUCUUAUAAUGGUUUAAAUAAAAAGAAUGCAAAUUCUG